rnacentral:rRNA from 1 species
UGGCGGCGUGCUUAACACAUGCAAGUCGAGCGGUAAGGCCUUUCGGGGUACACGAGCGGCGAACGGGUGAGUAACACGUGGGUGAUCUGCCCUGCACUUCGGGAUAAGCCUGGGAAACUGGGUCUAAUACCGGAUAUGACCUCCUAUCGCAUGGUGGGUGGUGGAAAGAUUUAUCGGUGCAGGAUGGGCCCGCGGCCUAUCAGCUUGUUGGUGGGGUAAUGGCCUACCAAGGCGACGACGGGUAGCCGACCUGAGAGGGUGACCGGCCACACUGGGACUGAGACACGGCCCAGACUCCUACGGGAGGCAGCAGUGGGGAAUAUUGCACAAUGGGCGAAAGCCUGAUGCAGCGACGCCGCGUGAGGGAUGACGGCCUUCGGGUUGUAAACCUCUUUCAGCAGGGACGAAGCGCAAGUGACGGUACCUGCAGAAGAAGCACCGGCUAACUACGUGCCAGCAGCCGCGGUAAUACGUAGGGUGCAAGCGUUGUCCGGAAUUACUGGGCGUAAAGAGUUCGUAGGCGGUUUGUCGCGUCCUUUGUGAAAACCAGCAGCUCAACUGCUGGCUUGCAGGCGAUACGGGCAGACUUGAGUACUGCAGGGGAGAACUGGAAUUCCUGGGGUAACA